UACGUAGGUGACCAGCGUUGUCCGGAUUUACUGGGCGUAAAGAGCGCGCAGGCGGUCGUUCAAGUCGAGUGUGAAAGCCCCCGGCUCAACUGGGGAGGGUCACUCGAUACUGAUCGACUUGAAGGCAGGAGAGGGAAGCGGAAUUCCCGGCGUAGUGGUGAAAUGCGUAGAUAUCGGGAGGAACACCAGUGGCGAAGGCGGCUUCCUGGCCUGUUCUUGACGCUGAGGCGCGAAAGCUAGGGGAGCAAACGGG
rnacentral:rRNA from 1 species